UGCGCCAUACCUCACGCAGGUGUUGUCGCUAAAAAGCCUAACACUUCAGCGAUGUAGGUUUCUGCGUAUACGUACGGUAGAGCGAAUACACGUCGUCUAGGCAUACUGCGUAAUACCGUGCAGCAAACCUGCCAGCAAUGCCGGCUAUACGUCAAACCUACGGCAUGUUUCAAUUACUGCUGGUUAUCACCAUGGUCAACACCAUUUUCAGUGCUUCCUCGCGCACAUUGGACAAGUGGAAUAUUUCAGGACUUUGCACGCGCUAUGACAAGUGGGAAUGCAAAUGGAGUGAGUUAGGAAUUUGAGUAUGUAAAAUGCUAGUCGCAAUUGUCACUUCACACACACACAAAAAAAGCAAGAAACGCUGUGCAGAAACAAUGUACCACGACUGGCUAGUUCCUGAAGACUCCUGUCCACCCUACAAAGCUAAACUGAAACCGUGUCCUUCGAAUCGAAUGCUUGAUUGCACCGAAUGGGUGCUUAGGUCAGGUGUAAGAUUCUGCAGCUGCACAUGCGGAAGUACGAAAACUGGAGUACGAAAAUACCACAAACGUUGAAUUCAACAUAUUCAUCAUUUGUGUUUCUAUUGCUGUGAUUUGCAGGAAAGUGUCAGCAAUGAUUAAAAAGAAUUAAAGGUUUCUUCAAGCAAGACAAAUUAUGUGGCCUCCUUACUAUUCACCUCAGAUAUAAUAGUUGGUAUUUUGUUAAUUAUCUCACUCCACCAAUCAUCUGAAGAAAAUUUUCAAUAAAGAGGA